rnacentral:rRNA from 1 species
AGAGUUUGAUCAUGGCUCAGAUUGAACGCUGGCGGCAUGCCUUACACAUGCAAGUCGAACGGCAGCACGGGGGCAACCCUGGUGGCGAGUGGCGAACGGGUGAGUAAUACAUCGGAACGUGUCCUGUCGUGGGGGAUAACCAGUCGAAAGACUGGCUAAUACCGCAUGAGAUCGAGAGAUGAAAGCAGGGGACCGCAAGGCCUUGCGCGAUUGGAGCGGCCGAUGUCGGAUUAGCUUGUUGGCGGGGUAAAAGCCCACCAAGGCGACGAUCCGUAGCUGGUUUGAGAGAACGACCAGCCACACUGGGACUGAGACACGGCCCAGACUCCUACGGGAGGCAGCAGUGGGGAAUUUUGGACAAUGGGGGCAACCCUGACCCAGCCAUGCCGCGUGUGUGAAGAAGGCCUUCGGGUUGUAAAGCACUUUCGGACGGAACGAAAUCGCGCGGGUGAAUAUCCCGCGUGGAUGACGGUACUGUAAGAAGAAGCACCGGCUAACUACGUGCCAGCAGCCGCGGUAACACGUAGGGUGCGAGCGUUAAUCGGAAUUACUGGGCGUAAAGCGUGCGCAGGCGGCUUCGCAAGUCAGGCGUGAAAUCCCCGGGCUUAACCUGGGAAUGGCGUCUGAAACUACGGGGCUGGAGUGUGGCAGAGGGAGGUAGAAUUCCACGUGUAGCGGUGAAAUGCGUAGAUAUGUGGAGGAAUACCGAUGGCGAAAGCAGCCUCCUGGGCCAACACUGACGCUCAUGCACGAAAGCGUGGGGGAGCAAACAGGAUUAGAUACCCUGGUAGUCCACGCCCUAAACUAUGUCAACUA